GUUAAAAAGCUCGUAGUUGGAUUUCUGCGGGGGCGGGGCGGCCGGAUGCUUAUAGCAUCUCGAGCUGGUACUUCCCCCGCAUCCUGCCGCGAACCGUGCUACCAUUAGUUUGGUGGCGCUGGGGAUCGGCUCGUUUACUUUGAGAAAAAUAGAGUGUUCAAAGCAGGCCACACGCCUUGAAUAAGUUAGCAUGGAAUAAUGAUAAAGGACUUCGGUUCUAUUUUGUUGGUGUUCGGGACUGAAGUAAUGAUUGAUAGGGACAGUUGGGGCGGUCAGUAUUCCAAAGCGAGAGGUGAAAUUCUUAGACCUUCGGAAGACUAACAGCUGCGAAAGCGUUCCGCAAGGAUGUUCCCUUAGAUCAAGAACGAAAGUUGGGGGAUCGAAGACGAUCAGAUACCGUCGUAGUCUCAACUAUAAACUAUACCAGCUAGGGAUCGGCCGACGUUUACUUAUAUCGACUCGGUCGGCACCUUAUGAGAAAUCAAAGCAUCUGGGUUCCGGGGGGAGUAUGGUCGCAAGGCUGAAACUUAAAGGAAUUGACGGAAGGGCACCACCAGCCGUGGAGCCUGCGGCUUAAAUUGACUCAACACGGGAAAACUUACCAGGUCCAGACAUAGUAAGGAUUGACAGAUUGAUAGCUCUU
rnacentral:rRNA from 1 species